rnacentral:rRNA from 1 species
UACGGGGGGGGGCAAGCGUUUGUUCGGAAUUACUGGGCGUAAAGGGCUCGUAGGCGGCCAACUAAGUCAGACGUGAAAUCCCUCGGCUUAACCGGGGAACUGCGUCUGAUACUGGAUGGCUUGAGAUUGGGAGAGGGAUGCGGAAUUCCAGGUGUAGCGGUGAAAUGCGUAGAUAUCUGGAGGAACACCGGUGGCGAAGGCGACAUCCUGGACCAACACUGACGCUGAGGAGCGAAAGCCAGGGGAGCAAACGGG